AGCGAACGCUGGCGGCAGGCCUAACACAUGCAAGUCGAACGAAGUCUUCGGACUUAGUGGCGGACGGGUGAGUAACACGUGGGAACGUGCCUUUAGGUUCGGAAUAACUCAGGGAAACUUGUGCUAAUACCGAAUGUGCCCUUCGGGGGAAAGAUUUAUCGCCCUUAGAGCGGCCCGCGUCUGAUUAGCGAGUUGGUGAGGUAAAGGCUCACCAAGGCUACGAUCAGUAGCUGGUCUGAGAGGAUGACCAGCCACAUUGGGACUGAGACGCGGCCCAAACUCCUACGGGAGGCAGCAGUGGGGAAUCUUGCGCAAUGGGCGAAAGCCUGACGCAGCCAUGCCGCGUGGAUGAUGAAGGUCUUAGGAUUGUAAAAUCCUUUCACCGGUGAAGAUAAUGACUGUAGCCGGAGAAGAAGCCCCGGCUAACUUCGUGCCAGCCGCCGCCGUAAAAC
rnacentral:rRNA from 1 species